CAAGCAUACAUCCAAAGAUGCCAGGAGCAUGAAAACAGAGGCAGUUUAUAGGAGCGGACAUUGCUCCUGCAUCCCCAUCAACGUGGCAGUGUCACACCUAAGAUGCCGUCUAGAUUGAUACCAUUCUCAGUAAAUGCCCUGACCUUGCCAGCAUCUUCCUGGGAGAGGCUGAUGUGACAGGAUAGCUGGGGCCAGCUGAAAUGCCUGGAGGGGCACGAGAUGAUUGUGGAGGUUUCAGCCAAGCCAGCAUCACAGCUGUCCUCAAUUACCACAAACAGAUGUUGGCAGCUUGACUCAUUAGAAAUGCAAUCCGAUCACCUUGGCAGUCUAAUCCUCUUACUGGAAACUCCAGAGAUAGGAAGACUCUGCACUCCUGAUUCCUGUGGUCAGGUCAAUGAAGGGUACUCUCCUUGUCCUGGGGAAAAACGUUCCCAAGCACAGACUCCAUAUGGCAAAUCGCCAUGAAGAUGAGAGCAGUGGUUUCCACCUGGGAGAUCUUAGUCCACCAGCUAUUUGGAGUUUGAAUCCCAGCCUCACCACUUACCUGUGUGAACCAGUCAAGCUACCCAUUUUGUCAAGUCUAGGAUACCAUCGAUUUAAAACACACCACUAUUUACUGUGAAACUCACAAAGAAACAACAACGUUGAGU